rnacentral:rRNA from 1 species
UGGGGAAUAUUGCACAAUGGGCGGAAGCCUGAUGCAGCAACGCCGCGUGCGGGAUGACGGCCUUCGGGUUGUAAACCGCUUUCGCCUGUGACGAAGCGUGAGUGACGGUAAUGGGUAAAGAAGCACCGGCUAACUACGUGCCAGCAGCCGCGGUGAUACGUAGGGUGCGAGCGUUGUCCGGAUUUAUUGGGCGUAAAGGGCUCGUAGGUGGUUGAUCGCGUCGGAAGUGUAAUCUGGGGGCUUAACCCUGAGCGUGCUUUCGAUACGGGUUGACUUGAGGAAGGUAGGGGAGAAUGGAAUUCCUGGUGGAGCGGUGGAAUGCGCAGAUAUCAGGAGGAACACCAGUGGCGAAGGCGGUUCUCUGGGCCUUUCCUGACGCUGAGGAGCGAAAGCGUGGGGAGCGAACA